AGUGAACGCUGGCGGUAGGCCUAACACAUGCAAGUCGAACGGCAGCACAGUAAGAGCUUGCUCUUACGGGUGGCGAGUGGCGGACGGGUGAGGAAUACAUCGGAAUCUACUUUUUCGUUGGGGAUAACUUAGGGAAACUUACGCUAAUACCGCAUACGACCUACGGGUGAAAGCAGGGGAUCUUCGGACCUUGCGCGAUUGAAUGAGCCGAUGUCGGAUUAGCUAGUUGGCGGGGUAAAGGCCCACCAAGGCGACGAUCCGUAGCUGGUCUGAGAGGAUGAUCAGCCACACUGGAACUGAGACACGGUCCAGACUCCUACGGGAGGCAGCAGUGGGGAAUAUUGGACAAUGGGCGCAAGCCUGAUCCAGCCAUACCGCGUGGGUGAAGAAGGCCUUCGGGUUGUAAAGCCCUUUUGUUGGGAAAGAAAAGCAGCAGGUUAAUACCCCGCUGUUCUGACGGUACCCAAAGAAUAAGCACCGGCUAACUUCGUG
rnacentral:rRNA from 1 species